GACGAACGCUGGCGGCGUGCCUAAUACAUGCAAGUAGGACGCAGUUGCGAACGGGUGAGUAACGCGUAGGUAACUACCUAUUAGAGGGGGAUAACUAUUGGAAACGAUAGCUAAUACCGCAUACUAGUAGAUGGACCUGCGUUUUAUUAGCUAGUAGGUAGUGUAAUGGCCUACCUAGGCAACGCUACAUAGCCGACCUGAGAGGGUGAGCGGCAAGACUGGGAAGGAGACACGGCCCAGAGUCAUACGGGAGGCAGCAGUAGGGAAUCUGCGGCAAUGGGGGGAACCCUGACCGAGCAACGCCGCGUGAGUGAAGAAGGUGUUCGGAUCGUAAAGCUCUGGUGUUAAGGAAGCGGUACUUAACCAGAAAGGGACGGCUAACUACGUGCCAGCAGCCGCGGUAAUUC
rnacentral:rRNA from 1 species